rnacentral:rRNA from 1 species
UACGUAGGUGGCGAGCGUUGUCCGGAUUUACUGGGUGUAAAGGGCGUGUAGGCGGGAUAGCAAGUCAGAUGUGAAAUACCAAGGCUUAACCUUGGGGCUGCAUUUGAAACUGUUAUUCUUGAGUGUCGGAGAGGAAAGCGGAAUUCCUAGUGUAGCGGUGAAAUGCGUAGAUAUUAGGAGGAACACCAGUGGCGAAGGCGGCUUUCUGGACGAUAACUGACGCUGAGGCGCGAAAGCGUGGGGAGCAAACAGGAUUAGAUACCCUGGUAGU